rnacentral:rRNA from 1 species
CUGGCAUGGGCGAAAGCUGACGUUCGACGCCGCGUGCGGGAUGAAGGCCUUCGGGUUGUAAACCGCUGUCGUUGGGGAGGAAGUGCAUGGGGUCUCCCCUCUGUUUGACCUAUCCAAGGAGGAAGUACGGGCUAAGUUCGUGCCAGCAGCCGCGGUAAGACGAACCGUACGAACGUUAUUCGGAAUUACUGGGCUUAAAGGGUGCGUAGGCGGCGCGGUAAGUUGGGUGUGAAAGCCCUCAGCUCAACUGAGGAACUGCACUCAAAACUACCGUGCUCGAGGGAGACAGAGGUGAGCGGAACUCAAGGUGGAGCGGUGAAAUGCGUUGAUAUCUUGAGGAACACCUGUGGCGAAGGCGGCUCACUGGGUCUUUUCUGACGCUGAGGCACGAAAGCCAAGGUAGCAAACGGGAUUAGAUACCCCGGUAGUCUUGGCUGUAAACGAUGAGCACUUGUUUGAAGGGUCCUCCAUAGCCUUUCAGACGUAGCGAAAGUGUUAAGUGCUCCGCCUGGGGAGUAUGGUCGCAAGGCUGAAACUCAAAGAAAUUGACGGGGGCUCACACAAGCGGUGGAGGAUGUGGCUUAAUGCGAGGCUACGCGAAGAACCUUAUCCUAGUCUUGACAUGUAUGGAU